rnacentral:rRNA from 1 species
AGAGUUUGAUCCUGGCUCAGGAUGAACGCUAGCGGCAGGCCUAAUACAUGCAAGUCGAACGAUACUUUCCAGCUUGCUGGAAAGGAAAGUGGCGCACGGGUGCGUAACGCGUAUGCAACCUACCUUAAUCAGGGGGAUAGCCCGAAGAAAUUCGGAUUAACACCGCAUAAAAUCACAGUAUAGCAUUAUACAAUGAUCAAAUAUUUAUAGGAUUAAGAUGGGCAUGCGUGACAUUAGUUAGUUGGCGGGGUAACGGCCCACCAAGACCACGAUGUCUAGGGGAUCUGAGAGGAUGACCCCCCACACUGGUACUGAGACACGGACCAGACUCCUACGGGAGGCAGCAGUAAGGAAUAUUGGUCAAUGGAGGCAACUCUGAACCAGCCAUGCCGCGUGCAGGAAGACAGCCCUCUGGGUCGUAAACUGCUUUUAUUCGGGAAUAAACCUAUCUACGUGUAGAUAGCUGAAUGUAUCGAAGGAAUAAGGAUCGGCUAACUCCGUGCCAGCAGCCGCGGUAAUACGGAGGAUCCAAGCGUUAUCCGG